GUGGUGGCUCAGUGGUAGAGCACUCGCCUAGCAUGUGUGAGGAGGCACUGAGUUCAAUUCUCAGCACCACA
rnacentral:tRNA from 1 species